GACAAAUCCGUGGAUGAUUAUGUUUAUAAGCUUGGUUCACAGAUGGAAAUAGAUGAAGCAAAAUUUUAUUGGCUGCAGGUUGUGGAUGCUGUUGUGCACCUGCAUUCCAAGAAUGUCAUCCAUAUGGAUCUAACACUUGCUAACAUACUGUUCCGUGAUGACGGCCGUGUUCAACUAGCAGAUUUUGGGCGUGCUGAAAGAUUAUAUAAGGGAUGCUCAGGACGUGACUUCUCGGGUAUUGCAACACCUUAUACUGCCCCAGAGGU